rnacentral:rRNA from 1 species
UACGUAGGGGGCGAGCGUUGUCCGGAUUUAUUGGGCGUAAAGAGCUCGUAGGCGGUCUGUCGCGUCUGCUGUGAAAACUCGGGGCUUAACCCCGGGCCUGCAGUGGGUACGGGCAGACUAGAGUGCGGUAGGGGAGACUGGAAUUCCUGGUGUAGCGGUGAAAUGCGCAGAUAUCAGGAGGAACACCGGUGGCGAAGGCGGGUCUCUGGGCCGAUACUGACGCUGAGGAGCGAAAGCGUGGGGAGCAAACAGG